rnacentral:rRNA from 1 species
AUUGAACGCUGGCGGCAUGCCUUACACAUGCAAGUCGAACGGCAGCGGACCUUCGGGUGCCGGCGAGUGGCGAACGGGUGAGUAAUAUAUCGGAACGUACCUUUCAGUGGGGGAUAACGUAGCGAAAGUUACGCUAAUACCGCAUAUUCUGUGAGCAGGAAAGCAGGGGAUCGCAAGACCUUGCGCUGAUUGAGCGGCCGAUAUCAGAUUAGCUAGUUGGUGAGGUAAAGGCUCACCAAGGCGACGAUCUGUAGCGGGUCUGAGAGGAUGAUCCGCCACACUGGAACUGAGACACGGUCCAGACUCCUACGGGAGGCAGCAGUGGGGAAUUUUGGACAAUGGGCGCAAGCCUGAUCCAGCCAUGCCGCGUGAGUGAAGAAGGCCUCGGUUGUAAGUACGUACUUCGU